rnacentral:rRNA from 1 species
CGAGCGAAGCGGGAUGAGCUCAAAUUUGAAAUCUGGCGUCUUUCAGGCGUCCGAGUUGUAAUCUAUAGAAGCGUUUUCUGUGCUGGACCGUGUCCAAGUCCCUUGGAACAGGGUAUCAAAGAGGGUGACAAUCCCGUACUUGACACGACCACCAGUGCUCUGUGAUACGUUUUCGACGAGUCGAGUUGUUUGGGAAUGCAGCUCAAAAUGGGUGGUAAAUUCCAUCUAAAGCUAAAUAUUGGCGAGAGACCGAUAGCGAACAAGUACCGUGAGGGAAAGAUGAAAAGCACUUUGGAAAGAGAGUUAAACAGUACGUGAAAUUGUUGAAAGGGAAACGAUUGAAGUCAGUCGUGUCUAUUGGUUUCAGCCGGUCCUGCCGGUGUAUUACCUUUAGACGGGUCAACAUCAGUUUUGGACGGCAGAUAAGGGCAGUUUGAAGGUAGCACCUCCGGGUGUGUUAUAGCUUUCUGCCGCAUAUGCUGUCCGAGACUGAGGACUGCAGCUCGCCUUUCAGGCCGGGGUUCGCCCACGUUCGAGCUUAGG